UCUUAUGGAGCUACAAAGAAAGUGGUUUCUUGAGAUGGAAUCUGCUCCUGGUGAAGAUGCUGUGAA
rnacentral:pre_miRNA from 1 species